rnacentral:rRNA from 1 species
UACUGGGGGGGCAAGCGUUGUUCGGAAUUACUGGGCGUAAAGGGCUCGUAGGCGGCCAUCUAAGUCGGAUGUGAAAUCCCCAGGCUUAACCUGGGAACUGCAUCCGAUACUGGAUGGCUUGAAUCCGGGAGAGGGAUGCAGAAUUCCAGGUGUAGCGGUGAAAUGCGUAGAUAUCUGGAGGAAUACCGGUGGCGAAGGCGGCAUCCUGGACCGGCAUUGACGCUGAUGAGCGAAAGCUAGGGGAGCAAACGGG